rnacentral:lncRNA from 1 species
AAUGAGCUGCUAUUUAAUAGUCUCGACUGAAUUGAUCUAUGUACCCUGUGAAUAGAAGCUAGAGAACCUUACUUUGAAGAAGAGUCUUGGUUCGAAGUGUAUCCUUUGAAUAGAAGCUAGAGAACCUUACUUUGAAGAAGAGUCUUGGUUCGAAGUGUAUCCUUUGAAUAGAAGCUAGAGAACCUUACUUUGAAGAAGAGUCUUGGUUCGAAGUAUAGGGAGAGAAGGAGACCACUGAAUCAGUUGGCUCAGCUCUGAACAUUGAAUGGUGGGAAUUCAUCUUCACAAGCCUAGUGCAUGAGUGGUGCUUUUUCUUCGUAGCAGGAGAAUCUAGUUCAAUGACUAUAAUAGUAGGGAAGUAGGAACUGUAACAAUGGUGAAGCUUUUGUUUCCUUUUUCUUUCAGGUGUGUGUGUGCAUAAAUCGUGUUCAACUUAUAACUUUUUUCAAAUAAAUUCUGCUCGUCUCUCUGGGAUAACCACAGUUGGAAGGAGUAGAACGAACAAACUUUUUACAGCGCAAAAAAUAAUAUCAGGCAUAGAAAACCUGGUGCCAAUAUGUUGUGUACUCC